AUCCAGCUGACGAGUCUUAAAUAGGACGAAAUGCACAUAAUGAAU
rnacentral:hammerhead_ribozyme from 1 species